rnacentral:rRNA from 1 species
AACGAACGCUGGCGGCAGGCUUAACACAUGCAAGUCGAGCGCCCCGCAAGGGGAGCGGCAGACGGGUGAGUAACACGUGGGAAUCUACCCAUCCCUACGGAACAACUCCGGGAAACUGGAGCUAAUACCGUAUACGCCCUUCGGGGGAAAGAUUUAUCGGGGAUGGAUGAGCCCGCGUUGGAUUAGCUAGUUGGUGGGGUAAAGGCCUACCAAGGCGACGAUCCAUAGCUGGUCUGAGAGGAUGAUCAGCCACAUUGGGACUGAGACACGGCCCAAACUCCUACGGGAGGCAGCAGUGGGGAAUAUUGGACAAUGGGCGCAAGCCUGAUCCAGCCAUGCCGCGUGAGUGAUGAAGGCCUUAGGGUUGUAAGGCUCUUUCACCGAUGAAGAUAAUGACGGUAGUCGGAGAAGAAGCCCCGGCUAACUUCGUGCCAGCCGCCGCCGUAACAC